AAGGUAGAUGCUGAUAUGCACAUCUUUUGAGUUACAAAACACACAAAAUGGGCAAAACAUUCAGAAACUCAAAAGAUGUUUUUGAGUCCAUAUUAAACUUGAAACAGAAAAGAGCAUUUUCCAUAGCGUAGAUGGCGAUGGGCAGUGCAAAUAAAACAAUUGAGUUUUUCUAAGUUACUGAAACAAAAGAUCACAUCUCUUGGAUAAGGUUUAACCUCUUCAUCUGUGAAUUUGAUCAUGAACACUGUGCAAUUCUGAAUGUACAAAAUCCAUUCAGUAAUAUCCCUGCAAUGAUAUUUUUAAUGAUUAUGAGGAAUCUUAAUCACAUCUUGAUAGCUAGCAUUAUUUAGAUUAAUCUUUCAGCACAUAGAAUUCAAGCACAAGUGAUGCUAGCAGAUGUAUUCUAUGGAAAUAUGACAAAAUAUAGAUAAAAUAGAAUCUACUUUGAGGAAUUGCUAUAUAUUUGUGGAUAGUAAUCUGUAAACUACCAAGUCAUCCUUAUGAUUCAACAUGCUCAUAAUCAGUUUCUUGACCAGUGAGUACGAAGAUACCUGCUUCAAUAACAUAGCCAAACCAAGUAAGGUCCAACCAAUUAAGGACACAUUUCAUCUAAAUCACACAUUGUUUCCUUAGCUCCCCAAUAUAAUCAGCAUACUCGGAAUGGCUUGCAACUCAAUCUUUCAAUCAAGUAAAUAUUUGUAACAGUGCUAAUCGAUAAGCACUCCAAUUCUGGAAAGAAUUCUUCUGGAAAGAAAUCAUGUUUUCUCCAUCUUCAAUAACUUCUUGGUUGGACAUCAUUUCUCAUUUACCGAUAGAUUUCAUUAGAGUUAUAGUUCUCAAAGGAUGAUUAGGAGAUUGGAGAGCCAAGGAAAACAAAUGAGAGUGAGAUGAACCGUUGCCUUACAAAAUAGAGCGAAUGUCAAAAAAAUGUUGUCUUUCUAUACUGAUUAAUGUCUGUUCUUCAUAUAUAAAAAAUGACUAAUAGAGGCAAACUAAGCACUUGACAAUUUGAUUUCAGGUGACACACGUAAAAUCUUUGCGUCAAAUCAAUUAAUACAUGAAAUUGAAGAAAGAGACGAGCAAUAAUUAUAAGAAAAAGAUGCACAACAAAUAUUGUUCCUAAUUCUUCUGAUUAGUUUUCUUUCUGAAAGGUCUACUGUACUGCUAUGGCCUUUCUUCUUAGUACUCGCCUUGAACUGGAAAAAAAAAUGACAAUAUUUUUUAGACAGAUCAAUAUUUCUUGGUUAGUGAUUUGAAAAUAUUCACAAUUAUCGAUUUAAAUUCACUUAAUACAAGACAGAAAUAAGCCAAAAGAUAGAAUAAUAAUAUUCUACUCUGAAAGUGAAAACAGAGAAGAGCAAAAGCCACAUAAAUUUAUAAGUUAAACUCUUAAAUGUAUUAAUUAUAAGGAACACAUACCAUAUUGAUUAUAUUAGUGCAAAACAAACUUGAUUAGGAGUGUCGGACAGGUGAAAAGGCUUGGAUGUUACUUGCAACUUGAUUUUGUUGGCGGAGAAUUACAUCAAUGAUUUGGUCCAGCUUUAAAAGGGGAAGGAGAUAGAUGAAACAAGGACAAUGACAGAAAUCUAAACAUAAAGAACAUUGGAUUUAAAUCUUUGAAGUAGAUGAAUAAUAGUAAAGACUUGAAAUUAUGGUGUUUGAGAAACAAUGUAUACCUAAUAGCUUUAUACAGAGGAUGGAAGAUCGCUGGGUACUGCCAUGGCGUUUCUACUUUUAAGAAGAGUAACGUUGUUAUUAUUAAUGUCUGCUCAUCGAAUCGAGGUGUCUAAAACUAUUCCGUUGGUGCCUCUUGGGAGGUUGAAGCGCAUAGAUGUACGUAGGGUUAAUAAGAGUACAUGGG
rnacentral:lncRNA from 1 species